rfam:Triticum aestivum genome assembly, contig: Triticum_aestivum_CS42_TGACv1_scaffold_376406_5AL
UAGCUCAGAGGAUUAGAGCACGUGGUUAUGAACCACGGUGUCAGGGGUUCGAAUCCCUC